UGGGGAAUAUUGGACAAUGGGCGCAAGCCUGAUCCAGCCAUGCCGCGUGUGUGAAGAAGGCCUUCGGGUUGUAAAGCACUUUUGUACGGGAAGAAACGCGAUCGGUUAAUACCCGGUCGAACUGACGGUACCGUAAGAAUAAGCACCGGCGAACUUCGUGCCAGCAGCCGCGGUAAUACGUAGGGUCCGAGCGUUAUCCGGAAUCAUUGGGCGUAAAGAGCUCGUAGGCGGUUCAGCAAGUCGGCUGUGAAAGUCCGAGGCUCAACCUCGGAAUUGCAGUCGAUACUGCUGUGACUCGAGUCCGGUAGAGGAGAAUGGAAUUCCCGGUGUAGCGGUGAAAUGCGCAGAUAUCGGGAGGAACACCAGUAGCGAAGGCGGUUCUCUGGGCCGGCACUGACGCUGAGGAGCGAAAGCGUGGGGAGCAA
rnacentral:rRNA from 1 species